rnacentral:rRNA from 1 species
AACGAACGCUGGCGGCAUGCCUAACACAUGCAAGUCGAACGAGACCUUCGGGUCUAGUGGCGCACGGGUGCGUAACGCGUGGGAACCUGCCCUUAGGUUCGGAAUAACUCCCCGAAAGGGGUGCUAAUACCGGAUAAUGUCUUCGGACCAAAGAUUUAUCGCCUUUGGAUGGGCCCGCGUUGGAUUAGCUAGUUGGUAGGGUAAAAGCCUACCAAGGCGACGAUCCAUAGCUGGUCUGAGAGGAUGAUCAGCCACACUGGGACUGAGACACGGCCCAGACUCCUAGGGGAGGCAGCAGUGGGGAAUAUUGGACAAUGGGCGAAAGCCUGAUCCGGCAAUGCCGCGUGAGUGAUGAAGGCCUUAGGGUUGUAAAGCUCUUUUACCCGGGAUGAUAAUGACAGUACCGGGAGAAUAAGCUCCGGCUAACUCCGUG